CCUACGGGAGGCAGCAGUGGGGGAUAUUGCACAAUGGGGGAAACCCUGAUGCAGCGACGCCGCGUGGGUGAAGAAGUAUUUCGGUAUGUAAAGCCCUAUCAGCAGGGAAGAAAGAAGACGGUACCUGACUAAGAAGCCCCGGCUAACUACGUGCCAGCAGCCGCGGUAAUACGUAGGGGGCGAGCGUUAUCCGGAUUCACUGGGUGUAAAGGGAGCGUAGACGGCCGUGCAAGCCAGGAGUGAAAGCCCGGGGCCUAACCCCGGGACUGCUCUUGGAACUGUGCGGCUGGAGUGCGGGAGGGGCAGGCGGAAUGCCUGGUGUAGCGGUGAAAUGCGUAGAUAUCAGUAGGAACACCGGCGGCGAAGGCGGCCUGCUGGACCGCGACUGACGUUGAGGCUCGAAAGCGUGGGGAGCGAACAGGAUUAGAUACCCGAGUAGUC
rnacentral:rRNA from 1 species